CGCAUCUUAAAUAUAUGUUUCAUGUUAUUUUAUAUAUAAAAAGAUCUCAACUUUACGUAGCGUAUGCAGCGUGUAGUAUCUCGCGAAUUUAUAAACGGUUAGUGCUGUUGUACUGAAUCGAUAGGGGCGAGAGAUAUCGAUAAUCGAAUUAUUUCGAACAAAUUCGAGAUUUCGAGUUGACACAACAAGCAAGUGUCAAAUGCACAUCUGUUGAGGGAGAGAAUGGACUUCGAGAGUCCGGAUGUCGAGAAAGAAUUUCCCGGUUUGUACGCUUCCGAAUCGGCGAGAAAGAGCAAUGAGAGCGAUUGUACGUAACAAGACAUCAUCGUAUUAUAUCUACGUUUGACGUUUCAGACAGUAGACACUGCGAAAGAGAGGUUAUGCAUCUAUCAGGUUAGUGAUGAAGGCAUCCACGACAAGCAUUCCAAAAAGGAGCUCUUGUCUAAUUUUACAUAAUUUCUGGCAUUCCUGAAGGAUGUGCUAUUGAUCAUUCGCAAAUCAGUUCACCGAGAGUGCAAGAUUUCUCAAGAGGGAUUAAUUUUGAGAAACAUUCCCUUGACAGCGACAUAAUAAUUACUCCUUCUUCAAGAUUGUCAGUUAGCUCACUGAUAGAUAGUAGAUUUAUUAGAAUUUUUAACCCCUGAUGCUAGUGGAAUGUCUGGCAUUCCUGAAGGAUGUGCUAUUGAUCAUUCGCAAAUCAGUUCACCGAGAGUGCAAGAUUUCUCAAGAGGGAUUAAUUUUGAGAAACAUUCCCUUGACAGCGACAUAAUAAUUACUCCUUCUUCAAGAUUGUCAGUUAGCUCACUGAUAGAUAGUAGAUUUAUUAGAAUUUUUAACCCCUGAUGCUAGUGGAAUGUCUGGCAUUCCUGAAGGAUGUGCUAUUGAUCAUUCGCAAAUCAGUUCACCGAGAGUGCAAGAUUUCUCAAGAGGGAUUAAUUUUGAGAAACAUUCCCUUGACAGCGACAUAAUAAUUACUCCUUCUUCAAGAUUGUCAGUUAGCUCACUGAUAGAUAGUAGAUUUAUUAGAAUUUUUAACCCCUGAUGCUAGUGGAAUGUCUGGCAUUCCUGAAGGAUGUGCUAUUGAUCAUUCGCAAUUCAGUUCACCGAGAGUGCAAGAUUUCUCAAGAGGGAUUAAUUUUGAGAAACAUUCCCUUGACAGCGACAUAAUAAUUACUCCUUCUUCAAGAUUGUCAGUUAGCUCACUGAUAGAUAGUAGAUUUAUUAGAAUUUUUAACCCCUGAUGCUAGUGGAAUGUCUGGCAUUCCUGAAGGAUGUGCUAUUGAUCAUUCGCAAUUCAGUUCACCGAGAGUGCAAGAUUUCUCAAGAGGGAUUAAUUUUGAGAAACAUUCCCUUGACAGCGACAUAAUAAUUACUCCUUCUUCAAGAUUGUCAGUUAGCUCACUGAUAGAUAGUAGAUUUAUUAGAAUUUUUAACCCCUGAUGCUAGUGGAAUGUCUGGCAUUCCUGAAGGAUGUGCUAUUGAUCAUUCGCAAUUCAGUUCACCGAGAGUGCAAGAUUUCUCAAGAGGGAUUAAUUUUGAGAAACAUUCCCUUGACAGCGACAUAAUGAUUACUCCUUCUUCAAGAUUGUCAGUUAGCUCACUGAUAGAUAGUAGAUUUAUUAGAAUUUUUAACCCCUGAUGCUAGUGGAAUGUCUGGCAUUCCUGAAGGAUGUGCUAUUGAUCAUUCGCAAAUCAGUUCACCGAGAGUGCAAGAUUUUUCAAGAGGGAUUAAUUUUGAGAAACAUUCCCUUGACAGCGACAUAAUAAUUACUCCUUUACUUAUGGUGGUGAUUUGUUGCAAAGGGAAAGUGAAGGUAUAUUUUAUGCGAUAUACGCAACUUCCUGGUUUACGCUUCC